rnacentral:rRNA from 1 species
CGGACGGGUGAGUAACGCGUAAGAAUCUACCUUCAGGUCGGGGACAACCACUGGAAACGGUGGCUAAUACCGGAUGUGCCGAGAGGUGAAAGGCUUGCUGCCUGAAGAAGAGCUUGCGUCUGAUUAGCUAGUAGGUGUGGUAAAGGCGCACCUAGGCGACGAUCAGUAGCUGGUCUGAGAGGAUGAUCAGCCACACUGGGACUGAGACACGGCCCAGACUCCUACGGGAGGCAGCAGUGGGGAAUUUUCCGCAAUGGGCGAAAGCCUGACGGAGCAAUACCGCGUGAGGGAGGAAGGCUCUUGGGUUGUAAACCUCUUUUCUCAGGGAAGAAAAAAAUGACGGUACCUGAGGAAUAAGCAUCGGCUAACUCCGUGCCAGCAGCCGCGGUAAUACGGAGGAUGCAAGCGUUAUCCGGAAUGAUUGGGCGUAAAGGGUCCGCAGGUGGCAUUGUAUGUCUGCUGUUAAAGAGUCUGGCUCAACCAGAUCAAAGCAGUGGAAACUACAAAGCUAGAGUAUGGUCGGGGCAGAGGGAAUUCCUGGUGUAGCGGUGAAAUGCGUAGAUAUCAGGAAGAACACCGGUGGCGAAGGCGCUCUGCUAGGCCAAAACUGACACUGAGGGACGAAAGCUAGGGGAGCGAAUGGGAUUAGAUACCCCAGUAGUC